CAUAUAUAAGUAAAUGUGGGACUUCCCUGAUGGUCCAGUGGUUAUGACUCUGCACCCCACUGCACAGGGUGUGAGUUCAAUCCCUGGCCAGGAAACUAAGAUCUCUGCAUGCUGCAUGAUACACACAGCACAGCGUGUGUGUGCGUGUGUGUGUGUGUGUAAGAUCUGUGCAUGCUGCAUGAUACACAUAGCACAGCGUGUGUGUGUGUAAGAUCUCUGCAUGCUGCAUGAUACACACAGCACAGCGUGUGUGUGUGUGUGUGUGUGUGUGCAUAUUAAAAAGCAAAUACAAAAAUUUCGCACCAAACUGGCUGUGCGGAGACCGCGGUUCACGGCUAGCUAGAAAGUGUUUCCUGCCGCUGUCAUAGUUCGUCCCUAAACUGCAUCAUCACUGUGUCCCAGAACAUGGGCAUCGGCAAGAACGGGAACCUGCCCUGGCCACCACUCAGGAAUGAAUUCAAGUAUUUCCAAAGAAUGACUAUAAUCUCUUCAGAAGAAGGUAAACAGAAUUUGGUGAUUAUGGGUAGGAAGACCUGGUUCUCCAUUCCAGAGAAGAAUCGACAUUUAAAGGACAGAAUUAAUAUAGUUCUCAGUAGAGAACUCAAGGAACCUCCAAAGGGAGCUCAUUUUCUUGCCAAAAGUUUGGAUGAUGCCUUAGAACUUACUGAAGAUCCAGAAUUAACAAAUAAAGUAGACAUGGUUUGGAUAGUGGGAGGCAGUUCUGUUUAUAAGGAAGCCAUGAACAAGCCAGGCCAUCUUAGACUAUUUGUGACAAGGAUCAUGCAAGAAUUUGAAAGUGAUGUGUUUUUCCCAGAAAUUGAUUUUGAAAAAUAUAAACUUCUUCCAGAAUAUCCAGGUGUUCCUUUGGAUGUCCAGGAGGAAAAAGGCAUUAAGUACAAAUUUGAAGUAUAUGAAAAGAACAAUUAAUGUGAAAAUGUUUUCCCAUCUAUUUCAAGCCUUUCUCCCCGCCAAGGAAAACUAUAUAUUUUUCUGUUGUAGAGACUUCUGUUCACUUUAGAU